rnacentral:rRNA from 1 species
AUUGAACGCUGGCGGCAUGCUUUACACAUGCAAGUCGAACGGCAGCGCGGGCUUCGGCCUGGCGGCGAGUGGCGAACGGGUGAGUAAUGCAUCGGAACGUGCCCAGUAGUGGGGGAUAGCCCGGCGAAAGCCGGAUUAAUACCGCAUACGACCUGAGGGUGAAAGCGGGGGUCCGAAAGGCCUCGCGCUAUUGGAGCGGCCGAUGUCGGAUUAGCUAGUUGGUGGGGUAAAGGCUUACCAAGGCGACGAUCCGUAGCUGGUCUGAGAGGACGACCAGCCACACUGGGACUGAGACACGGCCCAGACUCCUACGGGAGGCAGCAGUGGGGAAUUUUGGACAAUGGGGGCAACCCUGAUCCAGCCAUGCCGCGUGCGGGAAGAAGGCCUUCGGGUUGUAAACCGCUUUUGUUAGGGAAGAAAGCCUCUGGGCUAAUACCCCGGGGGGAUGACGGUACCGGAAGAAUAAGCACCGGCUAACUACGUG